rnacentral:snRNA from 1 species
AGCUUUGCGCAGUGGCAGUAUCAUAGCCAAUGAGGUUAAUCCGAGGCGUGAUUAUUGCUAGUUGAAAAUCUUUUUAAAAAGUUGGGUAAUGGAUUUUUUUAACAUAAUAAAUGCUUAU